rnacentral:rRNA from 1 species
CGGACGGGUGAGUAACGCGUGGGUAACCUGCCCUGUACAGGGGGAUAACAGCUGGAAACGGCUGCUAAUACCGCAUAAGCGCACGAGGAGACAUCUCCUUGUGUGAAAAACUCCGGUGGUACAGGAUGGGCCCGCGUCUGAUUAGCUGGUUGGCAGGGUAACGGCCUACCAAGGCAACGAUCAGUAGCCGGUCUGAGAGGAUGAACGGCCACAUUGGGACUGAGACACGGCCCAG